GACGAACGCUGGCGGCGUGCCUAAUACAUGCCAGUAGAACGCACAGUUUAUACCGUAGCUUGCUACACCAUAGACUGUGAGUUGCGAACGGGUGAGUAACGCGUAGGUAACCUGCCUGGUAGCGGGGGAUAACUAUUGGAAACGAUAGCUAAUACCGCAUAAUAUUAAUUAUUGCAUGAUAAUUAAUUGAAAGUUGCAAUUGCACCACUACCAGAUGGACCUGCGUUGUAUUAGCUAGUAGGUGAGGUAACGGCUCACCUAGGCGACGAUUCAUAGCCGACCUGAGAGGGUGAUCGGCCACACUGGGACUGAGACACGGCCCAGACUCCUACGGGAGGCAGCAGUAGGGAAUCUUCGGCAAUGGACGAAAGUCUGACCGAGCAACGCCGCGUGAGUGAAGAAGGUUUUCGGAUCGUAAAGCUCUGUUGUAAGAGAAGAACGGGUGUGAGAGUGGAAAGUUCACACUGUGACGGUAUCUUACCAGAAAGGGACGGCUAACUACGUG
rnacentral:rRNA from 1 species